rnacentral:rRNA from 1 species
AUAUUAUUAGAGUUAAUAAAAUUUAAGGGGAGCUAAUGAUCAUUAGCAAACAAUUAAGUAUGGCGGUAAAAGGUAUGAUUAGAGAGAUAUAUUAUUUAAUCUGACGGCGCACAGAAUACCUAACUUGAGCUCAUUUUCCAUACCGCCGUCUAAAGAGACUGUUUUCUGACAGUUUUCUAAAUAGGUUCACAUCUGAGAAGUCAGGUAGAGGUGGAGAGUAUGUUUAAGGAUUUUAUGUAUCUCAUUGAAAAAGUAAAAUUGCGAAGCCAUUUUGGCAGAAAGAAAGCUGAGUUGAAUUUAACAGUACU